rnacentral:rRNA from 1 species
AUUGAACGCUGGCGGCAUGCUUUACACAUGCAAGUCGAACGGUAACAGGCCGCCAGGUGCUGACGAGUGGCGAACGGGAGAGUAAUGCAUCGGAACGUGCCCAGUCGUGGGGGCUAACUACCCGAAAGAGUAGCUAAUACCACAUACGAUCUAUGGCCGAAAGCGGGGGACCGUAAGGCCUCGCGAGAUUGGAGGGGGCUAUGGCGGAUUAGGUAGUUGGUGGGGUAAAGGCCCACCAAGCCAACGAUCUGUAGCUGGUCUGAGAGGACGACCAGCCACACUGGGACUGAGACACGGCCCAGACUCCUACGGGAGGCAGCAGUGGGGAAUUUUGGACAAUGGGCGCAAGCCUGAUCCAGCAAUGCCGCGUGCAGGAAGAAGGCCUUCGGGUUGUAAACUGCUUUUGUACGGAACGAAACGGCUCUGGUUAAUACCCGGGGCUAAUGACGGUACCGUAAGAAUAAGCACCGGCUAACUACGUG